rnacentral:rRNA from 1 species
UACGUAGGGUCCGAGCGUUGUCCGGAAUUAUUGGGCGUAAAGGGCUCGUAGGCGGUUCGUCACGUCGGGAGUGAAAACUCGGGGCUUAACCCCGAGCCUGCUUCCGAUACGGGCAGACUAGAGGUAGGCAGGGGAGAGCGGAACUCCUGGUGUAGCGGUGGAAUGCGCAGAUAUCAGGAAGAACACCGGUGGCGAAGGCGGCUCUCUGGGCCUUACCUGACGCUGUGGAGCGAAAGCGUGGGUAGCGAACAGG